rnacentral:lncRNA from 1 species
UCAGAGUGACACGCGUCUCCCCAACCCUCCACUUCUAUUAUAAUAAAAAAUAUAAAAUAAAAUAAAAAUAAAAUAUUUACUUCUAUAUAUAUAAUAAUAAAUUAUAAAUAAUUAAUUUUAUUAGUAAUACAUGUAAUAAUAUCUAAUCCAAUAAGCGCGAUCUAAAUCACGUGAAAUGUCGAUAUAUUUCUGCAACAAAACUUUAGAAAUAUUACAUUUAUAUAUAUUUAGUUAAUUAUAUAGGCUAGAACUACUAUACUCUAAGUUUUCGAUCGUUGUAUGAAAAGAUGUGAGGUUGGGAUGGUUGAUAGUGGUCCUAGAUCUAGGGUUGAGUGGGUAGUUGCUUGAAUAGUAUAAUCUAACGGGUGAAAAUGGUCAAAGAGAUAACUCUAACAACUAAAAAUUUAUGACUACAAAAAAAUUUAUACUCACAAGAGUAUAGUAGCCGGACUCAAUUAUAUAUAUAACUAAUUAAUUUUAUUAAAUAAUUUAUUUCUAUUAUUUUAUUCCUCUUUUAUUUAUUGAUUUAUUUAAAUUAUUUUAAUAGAUUUAUCUUAAAUCUUUUUCACAGAAAUCUUUAUAAAAUAAUUUAAUUAUUAAUAAGCAGUUAUAUAAAUUUGCGUUGCACAAUACGAAUUUUAAUUAUUUUUAUUUAAAUAUAUUUAAUUAUUAAAUUAUUUUUAUAUAACUUUAUUUAAUUAAUAAUUGACUAAUAAAAUAUAUGAACCCACACAGUCUAUAAAAAUAUAAACUUAAAUUUAUUAUUAAAAUAUUUAUACUUGUAACAUCGCGCUGGUCUUCUACUAUUGAGCGUAAAAUGAGGGUUUGGGAACAUAUAGUUGUAACUCAUAAAGUUAUUUGAUUAAGGAAUUCGUACUUUUGAUACAUGGAAGGAAGUGUUCAUCUUUUGGGGCAUAACCGCUAUGAUCAAAGUAUUGUGAUUUUUUGGUCGAGUGGGAGAUUUUAACUGUAUAAUUUAGUUAGUACCUAAUAAAAUUUUUGUAUCGCCUAUACGGUAAUAAUAUAUCACUAGACCAAGUAGGAGAAUGUUGUAUAUGGCCCACGUGAUAUAUUCAAGGCAAUCCAUAAAAAUACGAUCAAUCUAUUUAAGUCGAUCUAUAAAGAUACGGUAGAUCUUACGGUUAGGAUGUAUCUGGACACGUCUUUGAUGGACGGACAUGAUUUAACAUUCUUACAUUAAGUUAUAUAUAAAUAUGUAACAUACGGGAGUCCCGGUCUAACCCUAAUCCAAUUUACUGUGAU